rnacentral:lncRNA from 10 species
UUCCAAAGUGCUGGGAUUACAGGCCUGUGCCACCGCGCCUGGCCCACUUCAACCAUUUUUAAAUAGCUUCUAUCAGUAGUUGAUCAAGUGACAGAAAUCCAAAUUGAACUAGCUAUAGUAGAUUGCAAACUAUCAAAAUUCUUUUCCUCCCUUCCCAAGGUGUAGUCUAUUUCUCCAACCUUUGCACCUGGAUUGACCAUGUGGCUGGCUUUGGCCAAUGGGACACUAAAAAAUGUGAUGCAAUCAGAAGCUUGAAAAGUGCUUGCACAUUGAGGCUUGCCCUCUCUAGCAGCAAACAGAAUCCUGCAAUUGCCGCGGGGAGAAGGCGAACUGGCCUACUGAAAACAAGAAAUAACGUGGCUCCCCCACCUCCACAGCACCCCAGCCAAUAGACAACCACCUGUCGGCCCAUAAGUGAGGUCAUCCUCUGGACAACCCAGCUGCCAGCUGACCACAAAUGCAUGAGUUAGCGCAGGUGAGAUCAACUAAGGCAGCCCAGCGCAGAGUCCUCUAGCUGACCCACAUUAUCAGGAGAUAAUAAAUGCUGGUUUUACGCCACUGUCGUAAAGGAGGGAGUGACGCAGUAAAAGCUACCUACUUAGCUGCUUUUUUUUUUUAAAAGCUUAAAACAAAGAAAAUUUGUUGCACGACCCUGUGUGUUCUGAGACUGAGCUAAGUAGAAGAAAGAUUGGAUGUACUUGGGCCUCAGGAACAACCAGAACUAAGUAUAUGGAUGUCAGCACAAAAUAAAAGAUGAAGAUAUUUUAAAGGCUCAUAUCUGGACCUACAGACUCUGAACCUAAGACCUCUUCAGGACCUUGCAGUAACAUUGGCUGCCUCCUCAGCUGUGCUUUUUCCUGUUGUCCUCUUUAGUAGGAAGCAAUGGGAAGAAGCACGGGGAGCCUUGGUUUUCCAGAGAGCGGUGACCAGGUCUCUAUUGAGACUGAGGUCAAUAAAUAGGAGACUAAAGAUCUCCAGAUGGAAUUCACCCUGGAAUCUGGGGUAACUGGAAAUGAGAUUAAGAUCUGAGGGGUCUGAGGAGUCUGCAUAAAAAUAAACAACGCCAGAAAGAAGUGAUCCAGUCUUUCAACUGCAAGAGUGAACAGGCUCACAAGAUCUUUCAAGCAACCCACACAGCUGAGUGCAUUUACCCUACCUAUUACUUCAUGUUACCUUUAGCAAGGGCAGGCACCAUAUUUAAUACUGCUUUUACAACCUAUACAGAGCAGUGGUUCUUACAACUUUUUUCCAUCUUCUCCAGUUACAUCUUCUCCCAUUACUUAGAACAAAUGCCCUAUUUCACUGUUUUCUACUUUUUAAUGGAUUAGGGGUACAAACUCAGUGAUAGCAAAUAAAUGUCGAUGUGAAAGCAAAAUUUGGGAAAUUUUACUUUAGCAAUUAUCUGAUUAAGCAAUAAUUAUUUAAAAAUUAUUUUAAAAUUAUGGGCACUAUCCAUACAGUAAGGCUAUUACAAUGAUGAAAUGUGAUGAAAAUGACAGGAUUUUUUUUGUUUUGUUUUUGUUUUUUUUGAGACAGGGUCUUGUUCUGCUGUCCAGGCUGGAGUACAGUGGCACAAUAAUGGCUCACUGCAGCCUUGAUCUCCUGGGCUCAAGUGAUCCUCCUGCCUCAGCCUCCCAAGUAUCCAAGACUACAGGAACCAAAGAAAGAUCUUGCAUUUUCUAAUGAAUUCUGAGCCCACAGUACAACUCAUCUUUGGAAAUCACUGCUCCAGAAUCCAAAGCAUGGUGCUCAGGAACUCCAGGUACAACGUUGAAUAAAGGUGGUGAGAAUAGACAUCCUUGCCUUGUUCCCAAUGUUGAUCAGUCUACCUUGAAGUUUAUUGAUUUUGUUUAUCUUUUCAAAGAUCAAACUUGCUUUGUUAACUUUUUCUGUUUUCUAUCUCAUUGACUUUCCUUUCUUCUACUUUGUUUUUACUUUGUUCUUGUCUUGUUUCUUAAGGUAGAAUUUUAGAUAUUCCUGUCUUACAUGAGCAUUUAAAGCUAUAAAUUUCCUUCUAAGCACUGCUUUAACUAUCGCAUGGGAAAGAAUUUUGCCUUGCCCAAACAGAGGUCUGGCUUUGUCCCUGGCUCAAAACCUUGAAAUUUCCUGAGUAACGGCAGUGUCUUUGUUAUUUAUGGUGGGUCCCUCAGACCGCAUGAUAUGGUUUGUCUGUGUUCCCACCCAAAUCUCAUCUUGAAUUCCCACAUAUUGUGGGAGGGGCC